UUUAAUUAUAGUUAGGAGUUUCCGUAUUCAACAUUUUACCGUUUAUCUUGUUUAAAAUUUUUUUAUGAUUGGUAUUUUUAUUGUUAUUAGAUGAUAAAAUAUGAAUAAUACUUUAUGCAUGACUUAUUUUUUCUAAUCUUUUCAUAAAUUUCUUAAAUAAGACGAACGGUUAAACAUUGGACACAAAAACGACAACUACAUUUAUA
rfam:Oryza glaberrima chromosome 4 Oglab04_0324_27, whole genome shotgun sequence.